rnacentral:snRNA from 1 species
GUGCUCACUUGGGCAGUACAUAUAUUAAAAUUGGAAUAAUACAGAGAAAAUCAGCGAGGCUCCUGUGCAAGGGUGCCAUACAAAUUUUGAAGGGAUUGGUAUUUUUUU